AGUGAACGCUGGCGGUAGGCCUAACACAUGCAAGUCGAACGGCAGCACAGUAAGAGCUUGCUCUUACGGGUGGCGAGUGGCGGACGGGUGAGGAAUACAUCGGAAUCUACUUUUUCGUGGGGGAUAACGUAGGGAAACUUACGCUAAUACCGCAUACGACCUACGGGUGAAAGCAUGGGAUCUUCGGACCUUGCGCGAUUGAAUGAGCCGAUGUCGGAUUAGCUAGUUGGCGGGGUAAAGGCCCACCAAGGCGACGAUCCGUAGCUGGUCUGAGAGGAUGAUCAGCCACACUGGAACUGAGACACGGUCCAGACUCCUACGGGAGGCAGCAGUGGGGAAUAUUGGACAAUGGGCGCAAGCCUGAUCCAGCCAUACCGCGUGGGUGAAGAAGGCCUUCGGGUUGUAAAGCCCUUUUGUUGGGAAAGAAAAGCAGCAGGUUAAUACCCCGCUGUUCUGACGGUACCCAAAGAAUAGGCACCGGCUAACUUCGUG
rnacentral:rRNA from 1 species